rnacentral:rRNA from 1 species
UACGUAGGUGGCAAGCGUUGUCCGGAAUUAUUGGGCGUAAAGCGCGCGCAGGCGGAUAGGUCAGUCUGUCUUAAAAGUUCGGGGCUUAACCCCGUGAUGGGAUGGAAACUGCCAAUCUAGAGUAUCGGAGAGGAAAGUGGAAUUCCUAGUGUAGCGGUGAAAUGCGUAGAGAUGAGGAAGAACACCAGUGGCGAAGGCGGCUUUCUGGACUAAAACUGACGCUGAGGCGCGAAAGCCAGGGGAGCGAACGGG